AGAGUUUGAUCCUGGCUCAGAUUGAACGCUGGCGGCAUGCCUUACACAUGCAAGUCGAACGGCAGCACGGGGGCAACCCUGGUGGCGAGUGGCGAACGGGUGAGUAAUAUAUCGGAACAUAUCCGGAAGUGGGGGAUAACGUACCGAAAGGUACGCUAAUACCGCAUAUGCCCUGAGGGGGAAAGGAGGGGAUCGCAAGACCUUUCGCUUUCGGAGUGGCCGAUAUCGGAUUAGCUAGUUGGUGAGGUAAAGGCUCACCAAGGCGACGAUCCGUAGCUGGUCUGAGAGGACGACCAGCCACACUGGAACUGAGACACGGUCCAGACUCCUACGGGAGGCAGCAGUGGGGAAUUUUGGACAAUGGGGGCAACCCUGAUCCAGCCAUGCCGCGUGAGUGAAGAAGGCCUUCGGGUUGUAAAGCUCUUUCAGACGGAAAGAAACGGUCACAGUUAAUACCUGUGACUAAUGACGGUACCGUCAGAAGAAGCACCGGCUAACUACGUGCCAGCAGCCGCGGUAAUACGUAGGGUGCGAGCGUUAAUCGGAAUUACUGGGCGUAAAGCGUGCGCAGGCGGUUUUGUAAGACAGAUGUGAAAUCCCCGGGCUUAACCUGGGAACUGCAUUUGUGACUGCAAGGCUAGAGUUUGGCAGAGGGGGGUAGAAUUCCACGUGUAGCAGUGAAAUGCGUAGAUAUGUGGAGGAAUACCGAUGGCGAAGGCAGCCCCCUGGGCUAACACUGACGCUCAUGCACGAAAGCGUGGGGAGCAAACAGGAUUAGAUACCCUGGUAGUCCACGCCCUAAACGAUGUCAACUAGGUGUUGGGGAAGGAGACUUCUUUAGUACCGCAGCUAACGCGAUAAGUUGACCGCCUGGGGAGUACGGUCGCAAGAUUAAAACUCAAAGGAAUUGACGG
rnacentral:rRNA from 1 species